rnacentral:sRNA from 14 species
GUCAACCACCCCUCCCUGAAGGGAGGGGCUUGUAGGGAGACCUAUAAGCCCGGGGUUGACCAGGGAAAGCGGUAAUCAGCCCGCUACGUUGGCGACAGGUCAGAAGACCCACUCCGAGAUGCUUCCUGAGUCUCGGACCCUGGA